rnacentral:rRNA from 1 species
UGAGUGUUAGGCAAAUCCGGCACUCUUAAGGUCAAGCUGUGAUGGGGAGAGGAAAUUGUUUCCUCGAGUCGUUGAUUUCACACUGCCGAGAAAAGCCUCUAGCUAGAUUUAUGGUGCCCGUACCGCACACCGACACAGGUAGUCAAGAUGAGAAUUCUAAGGUGAGCGAGCGAACUCUCGUUAAGGAACUCGGCAAACUGACCCCGUAACUUCGGGAGAAGGG